rnacentral:sRNA from 1 species
GCUGGGUGUGGUGGUGCAUGUCUGUAAUCCCAUCCACUUUGGAAGUUGAGGCAGGAGGAUCUCUAGUUCUUAGUCAGCCUCAGCAAUUUAGCAUGGUCCUAAGCAACAUAGUAAGACCCUGUCUCAA